UACGAAGGGGGCUAGCGUUGCUCGGAAUCACUGGGCGUAAAGCGCACGUAGGCGGCUUUUUAAGUCAGGGGUGAAAUCCUGGAGCUCAACUCCAGAACUGCCUUUGAUACUGAGAAGCUUGAGUCCGGGAGAGGUGAGUGGAACUGCGAGUGUAGAGGUGAAAUUCGUAGAUAUCAGGAAGAACACCAAUGGCGAAGGCAGCUCUCUGGGACGGUACUGACGCUGAGACGCGAAAGCGUGGGGAGCGAACAGG
rnacentral:rRNA from 1 species